UACGGAGGAGGCAAGCGUUAUCCGGAAUGAUUGGGCGUAAAGCGUUCGUAGGUGGCAAUUCAAGUCUGCUGUCAAAGACAGUAGCUCAACUACUGCAAGGCAGUGGAAACUGAAUAGCUAGAGUGCGGUAGGGGCAGAGGGAAUUCCCGGUGUAGCGGUGAAAUGCGUAGAGAUCGGGAAGAACACCGGUGGCGAAAGCGCUCUGCUGGGCCGCAACUGACACUGAGGGACGAAAGCUAGGGGAGCGAAUGGG
rnacentral:rRNA from 1 species